GGGCCCGCCCGGCCGAAGGCGGAGCUGGAAGGGGGAGCGAGAAAAAAGGGGGAGAAAAUGGGGAGUUGUCAUGGCGACCGGCUUGCCGAGCGCCCCUGGAAAGGUCCCAAGAUGUAACGAGAAGCUUCAGGCAGACCUUGAAUGCUCUACCCAGUUGUUACGCCUACUGAACCAGAUUAUCUUCCCCAUAUUUAGACUUUUGAGACUGAGGUCUGGAAGAGCACCAAACUGAUUCAAAAGCACAAAACUGGGUGCGCAUUUUGAGGAGGAAUCUAGUCUGGUUGAUGCACAGUAGCUUUUUGGACUUUUCAACGUUCAUUUCUUGUAGUAAGGAAGUUGUUAGGGCUCUGAUCUAUCUUUUCUUAUCAUGGUUAACCAUAUUAAGAUUAAGAACUCUUAACAGAAAAAUAACUCAAAGUUUGAAAUUACAGUAGUUCAGAAACUGAAGAAAGAAAUAUCCCCUUGACACAGCAGGAGUACAAAAUGGGAACAAACAAUAUGUACCAUAUUCAUUUGCAAUUGGUUUUAAAUAAAUAAUUUAAAAUAUUGAUGUUUGUUUCUUUUCUCAUCAAAUGCAUGCUGGGCAUGACAAGGUUUGUAAUUGCAAUAGGAAAAAGAAAGCCAGAUACAAAACUAGCUUUAUAACUAGGAGGAUAAAUUAAUGAAAGAUUUUAUGGGGUGGAUAAUAACAACAUGGAUUGUUAUUCUUUCUAUUUUUUCUAGGUAAGAAAGAGAAAGAUAAGCUCAAAUGUAUAGCUAGCCCUUAAUUUGAAUCAUUGGGAAAUUUUUAUUUAUUUGAUGUGUUUUGGUAGUGUUCUUCAUUUUAAUAAGCAUUUAUUUCUGACUUAUUCUGUGGUUUGGAUCUCUGCUUUUGAACUUUGGCAAACCUUUCAGUUAUUGCACUCUCAGAAGGA